rnacentral:rRNA from 1 species
AUUGAACGCUGGCGGAAUGCUUUACACAUGCAAGUCGAGCGGCAGCGCGGGGGCAACCCUGGCGGCGAGCGGCGAACGGGUGAGUAAUACAUCGGAACGUGUCCUUAAGUGGGGGAUAGCUCGGCGAAAGCCGGAUUAAUACCGCAUAAGCUCUGAGGAGGAAAGCGGGGGCUCCGUAAGGACCUCGCGCUGUUGGAGCGGCCGAUGUCGGAUUAGCUAGUUGGUGGGGUAAAGGCCCACCAAGGCGACGAUCCGUAGCUGGUCUGAGAGGAUGAUCAGCCACACUGGAACUGAGACACGGUCAGACUCCUACGGGAGCAGCAGUGGGGAAUUUUGGACAAUGGGCGCAAGCCUGAUCCAGCCAUGCCGCGUGAGUGAAGAAGGCC